AACCCAGUGAGAAUGCCCUAUUCUUCUAAUGACAAGAAGAAAGGAGCUGAUAUCAGGCACAACCCACGUUAGCCCAUGACAUCUUGCAUAGCCACGCCCCCAAGGGAAUGCAGCAGUAAUAAACUUUAAAACAUAAGUGCAAACUUGCCUUAGUUAAUAUCGUAUUAGGGCUGGUCAACACCCGUGCCAGCUACCGCGGUUAAACGGGGAGCCCUAGUUGAUAGACCUCGGCAUAAAGGGUGGUUAAUGAAUACACUGCUAAAGUCAAACAAUUUCACAACUCAGUAAUAAGUACAUGAAAUGAAGAAGCCCCACAACGAAAGUAACUUUAAAACGCAUGAAACCACAAAAGCUAGGGAACAAACUGGGAUUAGAUACCCCACUAUGCCUAGCCGUAAACAGAGAUAAUUAAUCUACUACAAUUAUUCGCCAGGAUACUACGAGCCUCAGCUUAAAACCCAAAGGACUUGGCGGUGCUUUAGACCCCCUAGAGGAGCCUGCUCUAGAACCGAUGAUCCCCGUUCAACCUUACCCCCCCUUGCCAAAACCA
rnacentral:rRNA from 1 species